rnacentral:lncRNA from 1 species
GACAUUGCGGGGAUAGAUUUCCAAUGCUCUCCAAAUUCGCAUUCUUUUCUUGACUCUAUUAUUGCUCACCUGCUUAUUUCCCGUUUAAAAAAAAUUGAUCAAAUCAACUUAUUGAAAUCUUUUAGACAAUUAUUAGGAUUUUAUUGCACAUCACUAAUCGUCUUUACAUCUAUGAUUUGUCACUCCAUCGUUGGCUAUAAUAUUAGUGAUCUCUACCGAAUCUAAAUAGCCAAACGCUCUCAAAUACACAGUUUUCAUAGUCUCACCACACUAUGACCAUCCAUUCCAGAAGGAAAUGGACAGGUUUUAUAGUCCCACCACACUUUGAUGGAAUCAUUAUCAUUUACUUCAGAUGCUCAUUAGUUAUUUUUUGUAGAGAAAAUUUUUGUUGGAUUUUUCUUUUUGACUAAAUAACUUUUGUUAAAAAAAAUUUAUCGGUAAGUUCAGAUUUUCAUUUUGUUGAAUUUAUUUUCGACAUAGGAGUAAAAUGAUCAUUAAAAUAUUAUUAGUAUUUUAAACAUUUUAUAAAGUUUAAGUUUUUUAAAAGUUGAAAUAUUUAUAAUACUUAAACUUUUUUAAAAUCUUUAAAUAUUAUUAAUACAUUAAUUUUUUUAUAGUAAUUUUUUAAAAAAUUUAAACUUUAUAAAAAAAUAAAAUAUUCAUAAUAAUUUUUUACUUUUACAAAAUUCAAAAUAUUAUAAAUACUUAAGAAUUCUAAAAAUAUUAUCUAAAAAUAUCACAUAGUUAAAAAAUUAAUUUACACAACAACACUUAUAUUAAUAUCAAGGCACCGAUUAGAAAUGUAAGAUCCGCCCUACCAACAAUAUUUGAAAUGGUGUGCCAAAUGUGCAUUUCCACAUGAUCCAUUUUGUUGCAAUUUUUGUACAUAAUUUAGAUUGUAAAUUAUACUUGGUUUGUACCUUUUGAAGCUACAACAUUAAAUUAUGUCAUAGUUUGCACUAAACCAAUACUAUUAACAAGAUGGGUGGGUUUUUUUUAAACCUUUUUAACAAGUUAUAACAAUAACUAACAAAAUUAACAACUCACUUUUUCAUAAGAGACAUUGUCCUCAACCGACUCAUUUAAAUCAUAUUUCUUUAUAUAAAUUCCCUAGAAAUUGUUCAGAAGAAGACUCUUAACUGAGUGAUACAAUGAUACUUGUUAGUUAUAGAUUUAUCGAAGAUAUACCAUUUACUCUAACAAACUCGAAUAAUAAAAAGUUAAAUAAACAAGUGAAUUUUAAAUGUGUUACACACAUUUUUGGUUAAUCAAUAGUAAAAAAACUGUAUUUUCGCUUGAAGUAAUAUUUUUAAAAAACUAAAUUUAUUAUUUAUACUGUAAUAUAUAACACAGAAAAAGGCCAAUAACAGGAAAAGUUGGAUGCGAACUCAUAUCUUUCCCAAAUCAGUGGGAUCGUUUUUGGCAACUCAAAUCCACAACUUUUAACCUUAAUACCUCGUUUAUAUACAUGUGUCUUAAUGCCCCAACGAUUUAGAAGCUGAAUCUCUUGUCAAAUUGUGUUUUUGGUGAAGUUUCUAAAUCCUUCUUCGUCAUCUCUAAUUUAGAAAUAUCUUGCCAACUUAUGAUCGAAGUUUGCGG